rnacentral:rRNA from 1 species
CAUGCAAGUCGAACGGAAACCUUCGGGUUUUAGUGGCGAACGGGUGAGUAACACGUAAGCAACCUACCCUAAAGACGAGGAUAACCAUUGGAAACAGUGGCUAAGACUGGAUAGGAAGAUAAAAGGCAUCUUGUAUCUUUUAAAAGACCUAGUUAAUAGGUAUGCUUUAGGAGGGGCUUGCGCCAUAUUAGUUAGUUGGUAGGGUAAUGGCCUACCAAGACGAUGAUGUGUAGCUGGACUGAGAGGUUGAACAGCCACAUUGGGACUGAGACACGGCCCAAACUCCUACGGGAGGCAGCAGUAGGGAAUUUUCGGCAAUGGAGGAAACUCUGACCGAGCAACGCCGCGUGAAUGACGAAGUACUUCGGUAUGUAAAGUUCUUUUAUCGAGGAAGAAAAGCAAAUGGCGAACCAUUUGUUUGCCGGUACUUGAUGAAUAAGCCCCGGCUAAUUAUGUGCCAGCAGCCGCGGUAAGACAUAAGGGGCAAGUGUUAUCCGGAAUUAUUGGGCGUAAAGGGUGCGUAGGCGGUCUAGUAAGUCAGUGGUGUAAUGGCAACGCUUAACGUUGUCCGGCUAUUGAUACUGCUAAACUUGAGUUAGAUAGAGGCGAGUGGAAUUCCAUGUGUAGCGGUAAAAUGCGUAAAUAUAUGGAGGAACACCAGAGGCGUAGGCGGCUCGCUGGGUCUUAACUGACGCUGAGGCACGAAAGCGUGGGGAGCAAACAGGAUUAGAUACCCUGGUAGUCCACGCCGUAAACGAUGAGUACUAAGUGUCGGGUUAAACCGGUACUGAAGUUAACACAUUAAGUACUCCGCCUGAGUAGUACGUACGCAAGUAUGAAACUUAAAGGAAUUGACGGGACUCCGCACAAGCGGUGGAUCAUGUUGUUUAAUUCGAAGAUACCCGAAAAACCUUACCAGGUCUUGACAUGUUUUUGCAAAAUGAUAGUAAUAUCGUGGAGGUUACCAGAAACACAGGUGGUGCAUGGUUGUCGUCAGCUCGUGUCGUGAGAUGUUAGGUUAAGUCCUAAAACGAGCGAAACCCUUAUCGUUAGUUGCCAGCACGUUAUGGUGGGGACUUUAACGAGACUGCCAAUGAUAAAUUGGAGGAAGGUGAGGAUCACGUCAAAUCAGCAUGCCCCUUAUGACCUGGGCUACAAACGUGAUACAAUGGCUGUUACAAAGGGUAGCUGAAACGCAAGUUCUUGGCCAAUCCCCAAAAACAGUCCCAGUCCGGAUUGAAGUCUGCAACUCGACUUCAUGAAGUUGGAAUCGCUAGUAAUCGCGAAUCAGCAUGUCGCGGUGAAUACGUUCUCGGGGUUUGUACACACCGCCCGUCAAACCACGAAAGUUGGCAAUACCCCAAAACGGUAGCCUAACUCGUUUAUUCGAGAGGGCGCCGUCUAAGGUAGGGUCGAUGAUUGGGGUUAAG